UCGAGGGGUAGAGUACAAUACUUGAGACCGGCGCACGGGUGCGUGACGCGUAUGCAAUCUACCUUUUACAGAGGGAUAGCCCAGAGAAAUUUGGAUUAAUACCUCAUAGUAUAACGACCCGGCAUCGGGAUGUUAUUAAAGUCACAACGGUAAAAGAUGAGCAUGCGUCCCAUUAGCUAGUUGGUGUGGUAACGGCACACCAAGGCAACGAUGGGUAGGGGUCCUGAGAGGGAGAUCCCCCACACUGGUACUGAGACACGGACCGGACUCCUACGGGAGGCAGCAGUGAGGAAUAUUGGUCAAUGGGCGCAAGCCUGAACCAGCCAUGCCGCGUGCAGGAUGACGGUCCUAUGGAUUGUAAACUGCUUUUGUACAGGAAGAAACACUCCCUCGUGAGGGAGCUUGACGGUACUGUAAGAAUAAGGAUCGGCUAACUCCGUGCCAGCAGCCGCGGUAAUACGGAGGAUCCAAGCGUUAUCCGGAAUCAUUGGGUUUAAAGGGUCCGUAGGCGGGUUUAUAAGUCAGUGGUGAAAGCCCAUCGCUCAACGAUGGAACGGCCAUUGAUACUGUAGAUCUUGAAUUAUUAGGAAGUAACUAGAAUAUGUAGUGUAGCGGUGAAAUGCUUAGAGAUUACAUGGAAUACCAAUUGCGAAGGCAGGUUACUACUAAUGGAUUGACGCUGAUGGACGAAAGCGUGGGUAGCGAACAGGAUUAGAUACCCUGGUAGUCCACGCCGUAAACGAUGGAUACUAGCUGUUCGGAGCAAUCUGAGUGGCUAAGCGAAAGUGAUAAGUAUCCCACCUGGGGAGUA
rnacentral:rRNA from 1 species